UGGGGAAUUUUCCGCAAUGGGCGAAAGCCUGACGGAGCAACGCCGCGUGGGGGAGGAAGGCUUUUGGGUUGUAAACCCCUUUUCUCAGGGAAGAAGAUCUGACGGUACCUAAGGAAUCAGCAUCGGCUAACUCCGUGCCAGCAGCCGCGGUAAUACGGAGGAUGCAAGCGUUAUCCGGAAUUAUUGGGCGUAAAGCGUCCGCAGGUGGCUCUUCAAGUCUGCUGUCAAAGACCAGAGCUCAACUCUGGGCAGGCGGUGGAAACUGGGGAGCUAGAGUACGGUAGGGGUAGAGGGAAUUUCCAGUGUAGCGGUGAAAUGCGUAGAGAUUGGAAAGAACACCAGUGGCGAAGGCGCUCUACUGGACCGUAACUGACACUCAGGGACGAAAGCGAGGGGAGCGAAAGGGAUUAGAUACCCGCGUAGUCC
rnacentral:rRNA from 1 species